UAUGGUCCUAUCACGUUGCAACACCGGUUCCCGUACGAUCACCGAAGUUAAGCAACAUUAAUCCUGGUCAGUAUCUAGAUGGGUGACCGCUUGGGAAUGCCAAGUGGUGUAAG